GGCCGCGUGGCCUAAUGGCUAAGGCGCUAGAUUUCGGUCUUUACCAAUUCUCUAGAGAUUCCAGGUUCGACUCCUGGCGUGGUCG
rnacentral:tRNA from 1 species